rnacentral:rRNA from 1 species
GCACCACAAGGCGUGAAGCUUGCGGUUCAAUUGGAGUCAACGCCGGGAACCUUACCGGGGGCGACAGCAGGAUGAAGGCCAGAUUGAAGGUCUUGCUGGACGAGCUGAGAGGAGGUGCAUGGCCGUCGCCAGUUCGUGCCGUGAGGUGUCCUGUUAAGUCAGGCAACGAUCGAGACCCGCGCCAUUAGUUGCUACUGAGGAAGUUUUCCAAGGGGCACUCUAGUGGGACUGCCGUCGAUAAGACGGAGGAAGGAGCGGGCCACGGCAGGUCAGUAUGCCCCGAAUCCCCCGGGCUACACGCGAGCUGCAAUGGCAGGGACAAUGGGUUCCGACCCUGAAAAGGGAAGGCAAUCUCUAAACCCUGCCUCAGUUGGGAUCGAAGGCUGGAACCCGCCUUCGUGAACAUGGAAUGCCUAGUAAUCGCGCGUCAUCAUCGCGCGGUGAAUACGUCCCCGCUCCUUGCACACACCGCCCGUCGCUCCAUCCGAGUGGGGUUUGGGUGAGGCGUGGUCUUCUUGGCUGCGUCGAAUCUGAGUUCCGCAAGGAGGGAG